rnacentral:RNase_P_RNA from 1 species
GAGGAAAGUCCGGGCUCCAUGGAAGCGCGGUGCCGGAUAACGUCCGGCGGGGGCGACCUCAGGGAAAGUGCCACAGAAAGCAAACCGCCCUCGAGGCCGAAAGGCUUCGCGGAGGGUAAGGGUGAAAGGGUGCGGUAAGAGCGCACCGCGUCUUUGGCAACAAAGGCGGCAAGGCAAACCCCACCGGGAGCAAGACCAAAUAGGGGCUGCACGGACGAGAGAUCGUCCAGGUCUGUUUCCAGACCCGCGGCCCGGGUUGGUUGCAAGAGGCGUCUCGCAAGAGGCGUCCCAGAUGAAUGGCCAUCACCUCGCAGCAAUGCGAGGAACAGAACCCGGCUUA